rnacentral:rRNA from 1 species
UACGGAGGGUGCGAGCGUUGUCCGGAAUUAUUGGGCGUAAAGCGCGUGUAGGCGGCUUUGCAAGUCGGGUGUGAAAGCCCUCAGCUCAACUGAGGAAGUGCGCCCGAAACUGCAGAGCUUGAGUGCCGGAGAGGGUGGCGGAAUUCCCCAAGUAGAGGUGAAAUUCGUAGAUAUGGGGAGGAACACCGGUGGCGAAGGCG